AGAGAGAGAGAGAGAGAGAGAGAGAGAGAGAGAGAGGCAGGCAGGCAGGAGUCCGUGAACAACUUUUAAUGUAUAUUGGCCGAGCCGGGCCAGUGAGUAGCUCGCAGGGACACACUGUUUUCCCCUCCUUUAUGCAUCCUCCUGCUCGACUUAGCUCAACAACGGCUCGUUGUUUUCUCACCGGUUCGGUAGCUAAUCUGUUUUUGGCACAAAAAGCCGUAGUGUGUCAGUUUCUUUUUCCUCCCGCGACUCCCAGCACAGAGCCGGCCUUGACUGAGUGAUUGAGUGAGUGACUGCAUGGACCAGACUGAACAUGAAGAGCCUUAAAGCCAAGUUUAGAAAAACUGAUGUCAAUGAGUGGAACAAAAAUGACGAGCGCUUGCUUGCUGCAGUGGAACAUGGCGAGGCGGAGAAGGUGGCAUCGCUUCUUGCCAAGAAAGGUGCCAGCGCUGUAAAGCUCGACAGUGAGGGCAAAUCAGCUCUUCAUGUGGCAGCUGCACGAGGUCAGACAGACUGUCUGUCUGUCAUCCUGGCCCACGGAGCUGACUUGUCAAUCACUGAUGCUGCAGGUUACAAUCCGUUACACCUGGCUGCCAAAAACAAUCACACUGAGUGCUGCAAGAAGCUCAUUCAGAAUAAAUUACCGAUCGAUGCUACAGACAGCUCAGGAAAGACUGCUCUUCAUCACGCUGCUGCCGGUGGGAACAUCCAGGCUGUCCAGCUGCUGUGUGAACUCAAAAGUCCCAUCAACAUGAAAGAUGCAGAUGGGCUCACGCCUUUGCUGCUGUCAGCCAAAAACUCUCAUGCUGAGGUGUGCAGCACUUUGCUGGACUGCGGUGCUGAAAUCAAUGCUUCAGACAACAGUGGCAGGACAGCCUUGAUUUUUGCCAGCGAGUCCAACGCCGUUCCUGUCGUUGAGGUCUUGGUUCAGCGAGGAGCAGAUCUGUUGGCUGUGGAUUCACAAGGCCACGAUGUGACACACUACAUUAAGCUCUUAGGCAACUCUGAGGUCAAAACUGCUCUUGUUGCUGCCCUGAACAGACAACAGAUCUCAGACGCAAAGUCUCCUAGAAGUCCUCAGCAUGAUCAAGUAGCUAAGCUAAGUGAUGAACGGAUCACAACUCCCAAAAAACGAAAAGCACCUCCACCUCCUAUUAGCCCACUGCAGAGCUCUGGACCCUCCUCUCCUUCAGUUGUUACCUCUGCAGGGACACCUGCAUCUAACAAGAGUGACGCUCCCAGAAGCUUCAGCUACAAGGAGGACGAAGUUGGAGGCACAGCACUGAGAGUGGAGGUUGAGAAGCUCCAUGAGGAGAGAAACAUGUUGCUGGAGACAAUCGAAGACCUGAAGCAGACGGUGGAGCAGACGGUGACUUUAACCGAAGCGGAUACAAAGGUCGAGCACAGUUUUACAGCUUCUGCAGCUCUGGUUUCUGCUCUGCAAGCUAAGAUUACUGCUCUUACUUUGGAGAACCAGCAACUUGCAGGCAAACUCAAGAAACUUCCAUCCCGCCAAGGAAGCGAGGACCUGAAGGAGACCAGCCGUCCAAACAGCAUGGCCUCGAACUCCUCCUUCCACUCCACUCAGGACGAGUUUGAGUCUGUGCCACAAGUGGGAAGGGAAGAUGGAUCUGGUGGUGUGUUCCGGGAAGAAGAGCAGAGUGAAGGAGGAAAAGGAGGGAGCAAAGAGGAGAUCAGACUGUUGAGACAGGCACUUGAAAGCGUUCAAACGAAACUUCUAGAAACCAGGAAGGAAAACCGCUCGCUUCAGGCUCAGCUGAAACCUGAGCGCAGAGAAAGAGAGGAGUAUGAAAGUGUGAGGGAGAAAGGAAGAGAGGAAGAGUUGAUGGAGACUCUUGCGGAGCUUCAGGCGAAGCUGACAGACACUCAGGAGAGAUACCACCAGGCUGUGGAGGAGGUGGAGGAACUGAGAGCACAAGUGGGAAUGGGAGAUGGUGAGACGAUGGAGAAACAGGAGAUCCAGAGACGCUCUGAGCAAGAGAAAGCAGCUCAACGAAUCAGACAGCUGGAGGAGGCACUGGGGAGGAUGGAGGAGGAAAGACAGAGUGGAGCGGAGAAGGCACAGAUUGAGGAGCUGUACAAGGAGGCACAGGAGGAGAUUAGGAUGCUCCAGGAGGCUCUGAGGGGCACAGUACCAGUCGAAGCUGCAGCCAAAGACUUUGACGAGAUGAAGUCCGAGCUGAACGAGGUGAUUGCCGGGAUGCAGCGCCGCUUGCUGGAACUAUCGCACUCCUACAGUGAAACUAAGAGUCAGUUAAGCGCUGCACAGAAACAGCUGGCUGAGGCCAAAGCUGUGAGCAGUGAAGCCUCCUCGCCCUCCUCAGAGCAACAGCAGGUCCAGGUGCUGACCAGCAAGGUGGAGGAGCUGCAGACGUUGCUAGCUGAGAUGGAGAAAAAGUAUUCAACCGCUCAGGAGGAGAUUUCAGCUCUGAGGCAGGAGGUUGAAGCUCAGGCGCAGAGCUCAGUGGCUCUCGCCGACCACACACGGGUGAUGUCGUCGCUGGGAAAUGCCAUUAAAGAGUUGGAAAGCCAGUCAGAGGAGCUAAAAGAUCAACUACACCAGAAAACUUUGCAGGUGGAGGCUCUUCAGAACAGGCUGACAGCAGAGAAAGAGGUCACCCCAGAUGAUUCAGUCUCACGCGUGGAGCACGAGACAGCAAGAGAGCAGCUGGAGGGCGAGGUGAACCAUCUGACGCAGCUCCUCCAGGGGGCCCUCAGGAAGCAGGACGAGAUGGCUCUGGAGGCUGCUGAUGCAUGGCAGAAGGCGCGGGAUAAUGGUGCUGAGCGGGAGGCCCUGCAGGAGCUGGUGAUGUCGAGGGAGAAGGAGAACCAGACGCUGACCUCCAGACUGGCCGAGUCUCAGGAUGCUGUGUGUCAGCUCAAACAGCUGGUGGAGAAUCACGUUGCUUCAGAGAGAGAGAAGAACAAGAGGAUAGAUGACCUGUCGCGGGAGGUGGGGAAGCUGAAGGACGCCUUAAACAGCCUAUCACAGCUCUCAUACACAGGCUCUCCGUCGAAGAGAGUGCAGCAAAACCAGCAGCUGGAGACAAUGCAGCAACAAAUCAAACAACUGCAGUACCAGCUAGCUGAAUCAAAGAAGCAGCACCAUGAGAUAGUAUCAGUCUACAGGAUGCACCUCCUCUACGCUGUCCAGGAAGGGCCACCAUAUGGUUCUGAUGUCACAGCUAUACACCGCUGCCAGUCAUACCCCCUGCCAGGCUGCACUGACUAAGUUGAUGCAGUAACACAGAGGGCGCUGCAUGCUCUGGUCUGUAAGUGCAGACCAAUCAGAUCAGACUGGGCUCAGGAGGUGGGCACUAAAAUGGAGCGUUUCAGACAGAAGGGUCAGAUGGACGAGGACGUGCAGAAAGCCCUGAAGCAGAUCUUAAUGAUGUGCAAGAUGCCAAGCCCAGCCAAGGAGGCCUGCUGAGACCCACCGGGCACAGUUUUUCCAAAAGCAGGACGUGAACGAAACUGAACUGAUGUCCUCCCGUCCAAAUUCACAUGUUGCUUGCCCUGCUUACAAGCAAAGGAACCAACACACGGUGCCUCUGGAGAAACCUCGAGUAUUUGUUAAAGAGGAAAAGUAUUACAGUCACAUACUCUUUGCCUUUGUUAAUGUCAAACUGACCGUCUAAGAUCAGAAGGUCAUUAAUGUUAUGAUUUGAAGAUGUUUUUGGGAAACUCCGGCCCAGCCUAUCCCAGCGUACAGCAACACUAUACAUCAGCUAACUGACCAUUCAAAUGAGUGGGUGAACCAGGUGUACCAGCCAAACUAAUCUCAGUAUGUGCACGUUCACAUAACACUGUUAGUGUGCGGCAACUUUAAAUCACAUGCAGUGUGAUGAAUCAGUCUGAUGAAAUAGUGAGUUCAGUGUGUUUUGUUUCUGUUACAAAGUGCGCUUAGAGAACUUAAAGCCUCACUUAGCGCUGCUGUUAAUAGUAUCUAUUUUAUGAUACAACAGUGUUUGUACUUGUCUAAUGUUUCACGGUUGUCGACGUGCUUCUGAUACAAUCUAAAUUAUUCGUGCCCUUUUAGUAACAAUGCAUGUGACUUUGCUCUAUGCCAGCCCAAAAAAUCACAUAGAAAUGUUUUUUUGGCCGCACUUCUAUGAAGAAAAUGCAUGAUACUGUUUGUACUGCUAUUUUUCCUACUAGCACAAAAAAUUAUAAAAAAAAAAAAUGUAUUUUACUGAAUUGUACUAUCAUGUCAUGUUUUCUAAGUUACUGUACUUUUAAAGAAGAGGUUUGAUAGAUGUAUUUUUGACGGCCUUGUUUUGUGUCCGAGUGAAUGAGAUUUUCUUCCUCAAGUAUAACAACGCACUAUUUGGUCCAGACACACCUGAAUUAGUUUUUCCUGUAAGUAUUCAUAUUCUACACUUUGAACAUAAUUGUUUACUGUAAUAGAAAAAAACAUUUCAGUUGUUACAAAUGUCCAACAGUAUGGACUCAGCAUUAACUCUUUUGUUCUUACUUGAAACGCAUGCAGAAAAGGUUGAGUUUUGCAUAAAAACCAGAGUUGUGUCUGUCGUCUUGUGCCUGUAAUCAGACAGUAUUUCUCUGAAAUUACAGCCAAUAACUCUCAUUUCUCACUGAUGCCAAUGUCACCAGGCUUCCUUGUACAAUCUCAUUAAUUUAUUUCAUUUACCAGGAAUGUUUUUUUUUUUUUUCUGUCUGUGAUGCUCCCGUUUCAAACUCUGUGUAUCAUUGCAGGUACGGACAUAAACUGUACAGUGUUUGAGAACACAGCUUGUCCUCUAGAGACUUCUGAACUGUUUCCACAUCACACUCCUUUGCCUUAGUACUAUACUUAGAGCCAUACACCCUUCUUCUCGAGAACACACCCGAUGCCAAUGCUCUGAUUCAGUGAAUUUGUAUCAGUCAGAAGCUCCUCUCUCACUCAGGAAGUACUUUUUUUUUUUUUUACUGAACAUGACUUACACCUGACUGAGAUUGUGAGUAGAGCUUUUGCUUUAUUUCACAGUUUGUAGAAUAUCACAAACAACAUUUCUCUUUUUUCUCUGUAGGUAUUGACUGAAAUGUUUUGUAACAAGAAAGGGAAAAGAUGGAAACAGCUAUUCCUAUUGGUUGUUUUCUUCACUAACAGUUUUGUAGUGACAUGGAGAAAAAAAAAGCGCUUGUUUGCCAACUGCUUUCUCUGUCCACGUUAAUAAAUUUUCAAGAUACUGUA